AAGUCGUAACAAGGUAUCUGUAGGUGAACCUGCAGAUGGAUCAUUUUGAUGGCUUCAAAAGUAAGGGUGGUAAAAGACCUUUGCUUGAGGUGUGGCUUCGCACCUGACUAACUAAAAUUGAGCUAUAUUCAUUUAUACACGGUUGCAUUGUGAAGUCAGGCUGUCAAACAGCGCCGCUGUCAAACACCUGUCAAAAACAAUUUCAACACUUUAGAAUUUUAGGACUUUGUAUGUCCAUUGGGAUGAUAGAAUUGAAAUAGAAUUAGAAAUAAAAAACAACUUUUGGCAACGGAUCUCUUGGUUCUCC
rnacentral:misc_RNA from 1 species